GGUUUUAUUCCUCAGGGUUUGGGAAGAGAAAAAAAUUAAAAAAAAUUGUUUUCUUCUCCAUCUCUCUUUUACCUCUUUAUCUCCUCUAGAAGUCCAUCUUCAACCUUUGAAAAGGUUUUAGAGAUUUGAAGAAAGGAUCCAGAAGGAUCCAGAUUAGUCAAAAAGAAGGUCUUCGUGCGAACUAGUAUUUUCGAGAAGACCGAUCAGAUUGGGACUUUGAGUAGACUUUCUGUAGAGGCCGGAUGCAUGUGUGGCUAUGAGCAACCAGCAAAGAUCAUCUUCACCUUAUCUCUCAGUAGCGGC
rnacentral:lncRNA from 1 species